CUUACCUAAAGACAACCCAACGUCUCAACCAGAAACUGCCCUCACUGGUCACCGUCAGGUCGCAGGAUCGCAGUCAACACACGAACUCCCGUCAGCGCUCCAAGGGAGAUCCACACAGCUCCACUUAGCAGAGCCCAGACCUCCAACAGCCUGGAGUGAAUUCCUCUGCUGCAGGAGGGCCCUGGACAGCCAGCCGCGGUUCUCUGCCAAGGACACAGAGGGACUGAGAGACACCUAACUGAGAGUGUCAGCCGUGUCUACAAACACCGCCUGUUGUGGACGCACUCACCUGUUGUGCUUCUUCUGGUUGCUGGCAUCUUUGGGCUCAUGUGAAUGAGGCUGCUCUGAACCCGUGGAUGCAAACACCUGCUUGGGUUCCUGCUUCAGUCCCUGUGGUUAUAUGUGCAGGAGGGGAACUGAUGGAUUGUCAGGCACUGAUGAGAAACAAUGUUUUCCUUCUUUAGUGUGCCGAAAUUCAAAUAACAUUAAACCAGCCCUUUAAAGU